AUCUGCUAGCGCUCGACGCUAACGUAAACCAUCUGCAUUGCAUUUUAACAGUCAAAAAUAAAUAUGAAAUUUUACCCAUUUGAAUAUUGCUGCUUCUGCGUUGAUCUACGCCUGGGCUCACUUAUUAUAGGAUGUAUAAAUUUGAUUGGUAACAUAGUUCUGGAGGUAUUUGCUUGCUAUGGACUAGAAGGCGGGGUGCUUCUGCAGUCCCUAAAUAUUAUUGGGGCCAAUGAGUUGGGCGUGGCUUUGGUCGUCAGUAAUUCUAUACUUGUGGUUAUUAUAGCCGUAUUCAUUGGGUUCACUUGCUUGCUUCUUUUCGGAAUUUAUAAGAAUCGGCGCUCGUUUGUCAAGAUGUAUCUAAUAUAUGCGCUACUGUUUCUUGUGGUAUACGCUAUAACAUUCUUCGUUCUGUUGGGCAAUGGAAUUACUGGAGUCGGCGAUAUAAUAGAAGGAGUCGUAACCAUUUUUUGCAACAUUUAUUUCAAUCUGGUGAUCAAGAGUUACUACGAUGUGAUGCUAGUGGAUGAUGUACAGGUUACCUAUCGCUCAUAAAUCGCGUCAGUUACCAUAGAAACAG